UUCGUCCCUUUGUAUUUCUUUUGGUUUCCCUUGGGGAACCGGGGCUUUAAAUAAAGGGGGGGGGACCCGGAUUUUUUUGGGGGGGCCCUUGAAAAAGGGGGGGGGGGAAAACCGGGGCACCCCCCUUAAAGUGGGAAACCCCGGGAAACCGGGGUUAAUCCGGAAAAUUUUUUUGUUGAAAAAGGAAAGUUAAAGGCGGUUUUAGCUUCAUUUAAAGGGCCCGGGGGCCUUAGCUAGUUGGUAAGGUAACGCUUACCAAGGGGACGAUGGUAGCCGACCUGAGAGGUGAUCGCCACUGGGACUGAGCCCGGCCCAGAUUCCUACGGGAGGCAGCAGUAGGGAAUCUUCCGCAAUGGACGAAAGUUUGACGGAGCAACGCCGCGUGAUGAUGAAGGUUUUCGGAUCGUAAAAUGUUGUCAGGGAAGAACAAGUGCCGUUCGAAUAGGGCGGCACCUUGACGGUACCUGACCAGAAAGCCCCGGCUAACUACGUGCCAGCAGCCGCGGUAAUACGUAGGGGGCAAGCGUUGUCCGGAAUUAUUGGGCGUAAAGCGCGCGCAGGCGGUCCUUUAAGUCUGAUGUGAAAGCCCACGGCUUAACCGUGGAGGGCCAUUGGAAACUGGAGGACUUGAGUACAGAAGAGGAGAGUGGAAUUCCACGUGUAGCGGUGAAAUGCGUAGAGAUGUGGAGGAACACCAGUGGCGAAGGCGACUCUCUGGUCUGUAACUGACGCUGAGGUGCGAAAGCGUGGGGAGCGAACAGGAUUAGAUACCCUGGUAGUCCACGCCGUAAACGAUGAGUGCUAGGUGUUAGGGGGUUUCCGCCCCUUAGUGCUGAAGUUAACGCAUUAAGCACUCCGCCUGGGGAGUACGGCCGCAAGGCUGAAACUCAAAAGAAUUGACGGGGGCCCGCACAAGCGGUGGAGCAUGUGGUUUAAUUCGAAGCAACGCGAAGAACCUUACCAGGUCUUGACAUCCUCUGCCAAUCCUAGAGAUAGGAUGUUCCCUUCGGGGACAGAGUGACAGGUGGUGCAUGGUUGUCGUCAGCUCGUGUCGUGAGAUGUUGGGUUAAGUCCCGCAACGAGCGCAACCCUUGAUCUUAGUUGCCAGCAUUUAGUUGGGCACUCUAAGGUGACUGCCGGUGACAAACCGGAGGAAGGUGGGGAUGACGUCAAAUCAUCAUGCCCCUUAUGACCUGGGCUACACACGUGCUACAAUGGAUGGAACAAAGGGCAGCGAAGCCGCGAGGUCAAGCAAAUCCCAUAAAACCAUUCUCAGUUCGGAUUGCAGGCUGCAACUCGCCUGCAUGAAGCCGGAAUCGCUAGUAAUCGCGGAUCAGCAUGCCGCGGUGAAUACGUUCCCGGGCCUUGUACACACCGCCCGUCACACCACGAGAGUUGGUAACACCCGAAGUCGGUGAGGUAACCUUUUGGAGCCAGCCGCCGAAGGUGA
rnacentral:rRNA from 1 species